rnacentral:rRNA from 1 species
UGGGGAAUAUUGGACAAUGGGCGAAAGCCUGAUCCAGCAAUGCCGCGUGAGUGAUGAAGGCCUUAGGGUUGUAAAGCUCUUUUACCCGGGAUGAUAAUGACAGUACCGGGAGAAUAAGCUCCGGCUAACUCCGUGCCAGCAGCCGCGGUAAUACGGAGGGAGCUAGCGUUGUUCGGAAUUACUGGGCGUAAAGCGCACGUAGGCGGCUUUUUAAGUCAGGGGUGAAAUCCCGGGGCUCAACCCCGGAACUGCCCUUGAAACUGGAAAGCUAGAAUCUUGGAGAGGCGAGUGGAAUUCCGAGUGUAGAGGUGAAAUUCGUAGAUAUUCGGAAGAACACCAGUGGCGAAGGCGACUCGCUGGACAAGUAUUGACGCUGAGGUGCGAAAGCGUGGGGAGCAAACAGG